GUGAAUGUGAGCAAAUUCCAGGAUAUAAUGAAGGAGUGAGGAGCCUGGCAUACUGCAGUCCAUGAGGUCACAAGGAGUCGGACAUGACUCAGCAACUGAACAACAGCAAUGCAAAUGCAAAGCAACCAAUCCAAAGCCCAUACCCACAGUCACAUUCUCGAUCUGCCUCUCUCACCAGGCCGACAUUCUUCCUGCCCUAAAUCCCCCUAGGGUCAUGUACCAGACACCUAGGGACCAUUCCCAGAGCAGCUGAAAUGUUUCAGACCGACCAAUCUUAAACCUGUUUAGUUGUUUACCCCAUGAAAACCACAAAAAAGACCUGGCCUGUGGUUUCCUCUUCCUCCUGACCUACCUGGAUUUCUUCCUUAUCUGUCCUGGCAUGGCCCGGCAUGCCCAUUCCUCUUGGGAACUGUAAAUAAUAAACUUCUUUCAAAGGCAAUGUGCUUACAUCUAUCACCCUGUCAUACCUGAUUAAUACACAAUCCCAGGCACAUUUAAAAACAUCUCUGCCAGUACCAUACUGUUUUAACUUCUAAAAGGCUUCAAGUGUGCCCUGAAGGCUGCCUGUCAAUCACACUGUACGGCAAUGGACCCUUCACUUCCACAUGCUUUGAAGUGACUAUUUCCUGCAUUUUGUUUCAACCUCCUCCCCACGUCAGUCUCAGUGACCUGUCUCACAGUGAUUCACUGGAUGAUUUCCAUCAGAAACAGGCAUAUUGUGAUUUCUCCCAUCUUAUAAAGAAAGACCUUUGAAUUGGAUGGGAUUGUUCAUUCUGUCAUGUUCUUGUGGUCACGUAACUCUACAGACCAAACAUAAGCUUCAUGAAGACACAUUUUUGGAUACUCUGUGUCUUUUGUUCCUUACUCAUUCCCCAAUAUCUAAUAAAACAGUGCCUGGAGCAAGGUAUUGUCUUCCAUCAACUUUUCCUGGCUAAUUCUUACUUGUGCAUCAGAUUCAGCUCAGACACUAUUCCUCAGGGAAGUCUUCCUGACCCUGCAAAUCAGGUUAGGACUUCUUGUUGUAAACUCUUCCAGAACUGAUACUUCUUAAUACAUCAUGAAUGAUUAUUUGUGCCACCAUCUGUUACUUUCUCUUCCUUACCAGACUGAGCUCCUCAGUGCAGGGACCAUGUUUAUCUUGUUCAGGGCUUCAAUAUGUAUUUAUUGAAUGAAUGACUGAAAACUCGUUAUUAGGGAGAAUGUCAAACAGUACAGCUCUUUGGGAGGGGAACUUGAAAAUACUUUUUAAAAAUACCUGAUUGCUUAUGCAUUCACCCUUUAAUCCAGCAAUCCCACUUCCAGUAUUUUAACCUAAAGACACACUGGAAAAAAAAUGCUAAAAUGAUUUAUUGCACAAGGUUAUUCAUUGUGGCAUUAUUUGAGAUACAAAAGGUUGGAAGCAAUCCAAAUGCCCAUCAUUAGGAGACAGGCUGAAUCAGCUGUGGUCCAUUCACACAGUGGAAUAUUCUCUGGCUGUAAAAAGAAAUGUGGAAGGUCACUGCAAUGGCAUGAUCUCCAGAUGUAUUGCUAAGUGAAAAAGCACAACUUCGUAGAACUGAAUAUCUAGGAUGCUAUUUUCUGUGUAACAAUGGGGCAGAAAGAGUUAUAAAUAUGUAUACAAAUUGUUUAUAUUUGCAAAAAAAAUAGUAAAAGAAUAAACAAACAUAUAAAAACCCCUGAAAAUGAUGACUUUUGUGGGAAAGAAUAGAGCAGAGGGACAGUGAUGGAAGGGAUAUUUUCUUACACAUAGACUGUUGUGUGGUUUUGACUUCAGAAUCAGAUAAAUAUUUUACACAUUCAAAAAUAACAUUAAAUCAAAAGGAAAGGAGAAAAAAAGCAUCUCUAGAAUUUGAAAGCAACAUGAAACAAAGGACCCUGAAUGUAUAUCAAGUUAGUGAUAUAACCAAGUCAGUAAAAAUGAUUGUUCCAAUGUUCCGAUGGGCUUUACGACACAACAUAGCUACUAUAUCUUUAAAAAAAAUUAAUCUUUUUUAGUUGUUAUUUUAAUUAUUUACUUAGCUGUUCUGGGUCUCUGUUGCAGCAUUCUGGAUCUGGUUCCCUGACCAGGGAACUGAACCCAGGCCCUCUUCUCUGGGGCUCAGAGUCUUAGCCACUAGACCACCAGGGAAGUCCAUAAAGAAACAUUUUUGAAGGUCAAAAAGAACUGCAAAGAAAUCUUAACAUUUCAUUUGGAAGUCUUUCUGUUAGUAAAAAUACUGGCAUUAUUUUUGAACCUAGUUUAUAUAAAUCACAGGAUAAUGCAAAUGGCACCCCACUGCAGUA